ensembl:rRNA 5S_rRNA 5S ribosomal RNA
UAUGGCCAUACCAUUCUGACCAUGCUUGAUCUUGUCUGAUCUUAAAAGGUAAGCAAGGUUGACCCUGGUUAGUACUUGGAUAGAAGUAGCCCCAAACUGGGAACAGGCUAAAU